CUGGGGCUGUAGCUCAGUGGUUCAGCACUUGCCUAGCAUGUACCAGGCCCUGGGUUCAAUCCCCAGUACUAGA
rnacentral:tRNA from 1 species